ensembl:lncRNA
AUUUCACUCUACUAAAACAUCAUCUUUCACAGAUGGAGAGGUGCGACAACAGACCGCCAGAAGACCACCUAUUAAGAGACAAAAGAAGACUGCAGCUAAAGGACAGGAUGAUGGGAGUGAUGAUGAUGGAGAUGGAGAACAGCCACACCUGUCAACCACAAGCUCACCUGUCAAGAGGCCAAAGAAGACUGCAACUAAAAGAAGGCAUGAUGAGAGUGAUGAUGAGAGUGAUGAUGAUGGGUGUACACUCUUGGAAUCCCUUCGCAAUAAGGGAGACUGGCAACAUAAUAUUAAGGUCUUAGAAGAAGGAAAUGGGGAGACAGUAACAUGGAGACAGCCCACUGAGAAGGCUUCUGUACAGGCCUACCUACCAUGCAAACACUGUUAUGCAAUGUUCAAGAGGACUGAACUCUGGAGACAUGGGAGGUCAUGUGGAGAAAGGAAUCGGGAAACGGGGAAAGGCAAAAGAAGAAGAGUACAAAAAGCUUCCUCACAACUUCUUCCAAUCAUGGAAUCAGCAGGUGGAGUUAAAAAGGUUAUUCAUACUAUGUUGCAAGAUAAUGUAACCUCUCACAUCAGAAGUGAUGAGAUGAUAUGCAAGUAUGGAGAUGCAUUAUUUGCAAGAAAGGGCCGUGAACAAUCUCAACAUAGAUACAUCGCACAAAAGAUGAGAGAACUGGGAUGGUUUGUGUUGGCUGCAAAGAAGAUUGACAAGAGUGUGAAAAGUCUUAAAGAUAUAUGUGAUCCAACAAAGUUUGAACUGGCAGUAAAAGCAGCCAGGAGGGUGUCAAACUACAACGCAGAAACCAACGAAUAUGGAAAGCCAUCUACUGCUGUCAAAAUUGGAUUUUCUCUCAAAGGGGCAACAGAAGCCUGGAUUGGACAUUGUUUGAUGACGUCGGAUGUUUUAACUGAGAAGAGGGCCAAGAAGUUUAAGCAGCUGCUAGAUAGCUCUUGGUCCACUUUCGUGUCAACCAAUGCUCACAGCACAAUGGAACAACGGAGGUGGAACAAAGAAGACAGUGUACCUUUGACAAAGGCCGUUGUUACUCUGCAGAACUACCUGAGGAAAAUUGAGGAUGAGGCAAUGGUGGAGUUGAAAGAGUGUGCGAGCAACACCACAGCAUACAAAAAGUUAACUGAGAGCCUUCUCGCACAAAUAAUAGUUUUUAACAAGAAGCGUGAAGGAGAAGCAUCACGCUUAACCUUGGAGACAUAUCUAAAAGCCGACACCGGCCCUGUGAAUGAGGACAUAUAUGAAACCCUAUCAGCAGUGGAAAAACAACUGAGCCACAGGCUGACUCGGAUAGUGACACGUGGAAAGAGAGGUAGAAAAGUGCCCAUUCUCCUUCUUGAUCGCACAAAAACCUCUCUCGACUUCAUGAUUGAAAAACGGAAGGAAGUUGGCGUAAUUGAUGACAACCCAUUUCUGUUUGCCAGGAUCGGAACAGAAACCAAUAUUCGUGGAUGUGACUGCCUUCGGAAAUAUGCUAAAGAGAGCAAGGCAAGCCACCCAGAACUCCUUAGGUCAACCAAACUAAGAAAGCAUGUUGCUACCUUAUGCCAGCUCCUGGACCUUGAUAAUCAAGAGCUGGAACAAGUAGCUCGUUUUAUGGGACAUGACAUAAGAGUCCAUUGCGAUUAUUACCGCCAAACUGACAAAACAUUUCAGGUAGCCAAGAUUGGGAAACUACUGUUUGCAAUGGAGCAUGGAGCAAAGGCGCUUAAAGGGAAGAAUCUGAAGACACUGGACUCAGUUGUCUUUGGACAUGAAGCCACCUCAACCAAAGGCUUGAGAGGAGUCAAAGAGAGAGGGACAUCAAAUGUAGACAGACGACUGGAAGCUAAUGAUGAUGGAGAACAGCCACACCUGUCAACCACAAGCCCACCUGUCAAGAGGCCAACAAAGACUGCAACUAAAAGACAUGAUGAUGAUGGGAGUUAUGAUGAUGGGGAUGGAGAGGUGCGACAACAGACCGCCAGAAGACCACCUAUUAAGAGACAAAAGAAGACUGCAGCUAAAGGACAGGAUGAUGGGAGUGAUGAUGAUGGAGAUGGAGAACAGCCACACCUGUCAACCACAAGCUCACCUGUCAAGAGGCCAAAGAAGACUGCAACUAAAAGAAGGCAUGAUGAGAGUGAUGAUGAGAGUGAUGAUGAUGGGUGUGGAGAGAAGCGACCCUCGACCGCAACAAGACCACCUGUUGAGAGGAGAAAGAAGACUAAACGAAACUAUGAUGAAUAUUAUGAUUGGGCUUUCUCAGAUGGAGAGGAGCUACUAAUCACAACACCCCCUGUUAAGGGGCGAAAGAAGACUGCAACUAACAGAGGACGUAAUGAUGAUGAUGCUCCAAAAACACAAUUAAAGAGACCCUGGACUGACCAGGAGAGGACUGCAGUCGGGCGAAGCAUGGCAAAGUUCAUCUCGCUAAGGAGGGUGCCAGCAAAGACAGACUGCAUGCUUUGUAUUGCGAAAGAGUCUCCAGUCCUUAGCGAUCGAACAUGGAAAGAUGUUAAAUAUUAUGUCCACAAUGCAAUACUUAAAAUCAAGAGAAAGCUUGCAUUUUAAAGGAGACCUGUUAUGUUCAGUGUCAGCCAAGUUCUGUUGCUGAGCCUACAAGCAAGGCAGCACAGCCAUUAGGAGGAGGUAGGGUGAAUGGGAAAGAGGGAUGGAGGGAUAAAAGAGGCAGGGAAUUGGGAUGAGAGGAAGAAGGUGGAGAGAGAGACAGGGGGAGACGGGUAGAAAAAGAGACAGGUAGAGGGAGGGAGGCAGAUAGAAAAAGAGAGGUAGAGGGAAGUAGAAAAAGAGAGACAGGUAGAAAGAGAGAGACAGGUCGAAAAAGGAGAGAGGGAGAGAAAGGUAGAAAAGGAGAGGGAGAGAGACAGGUAGAAGAGAGGGAGAGAGACAGGUAGAAGAAGAGAUUGAGAGAGACAGGUAGAAAAAGAGGGAGAGAGACCGGUAGAAAAAGAGCUUGACAGGUAGAAUAAGAGGUAGAGAGAGAGUUUGAUACUUUUUCGUUCGAGAAACUCCUGAAUAAUCGCUGUCGGUUCUGUGUUGUGUUCAAUAGUGUCUAUAUUUUUCUUGUAUCUGUAUUUAGGAUUGGUACU